GACGUAGGGCGCGAGCGUUGUCCGGAAUUAUUGGGCGUAAAGGGCUCGUAGGCGGUUUGUCGCGUCGGGAGUGAAAACUCAGGGCUUAACCCUGAGCCUGCUUCCGAUACGGGCAGACUAGAGGUAUGCAGGGGAGAACGGAAUUCCUGGUGUAGCGGUGAAAUGCGCAGAUAUCAGGAGGAACACCGGUGGCGAAGGCGGGUCUCUGGGCCGUAACUGACGCUGAGGAGCGAAAGCAUGGGGAGCGAACAGG
rnacentral:rRNA from 1 species